ACUACGAGGUGCACGACGGUAAUCGAACUUACGGUAGGGGCGGUAAAGCGCGCGUAGGUGGUUUGAUAAGUUGGAUGUGAAAGCCCCGGGCUCAACCUGGGAAUUGCAUCCAAAACUGUCUGACUAGAGUAUGGCAGAGGGGUGGUGGAAUUUCCUGUGUAGCGGUGAAGUGCGUAGAUAUAGGAAGGAACACCAGUGGCGAAGGCGACCACCUGGGCUAAAUACUGACACUGAGGUGCGAAAGCGUGGGGAGCGAACAGGAUUAGAUACCCCCGUAGU
rnacentral:rRNA from 1 species